rnacentral:lncRNA from 1 species
AACAAGGUCACUUGAUGGAAUAAAUGAGUUUAACCUCAUAAAUGUUGACAAAAUCCUCAUGAAUUUAAAAGUUUGGCUUAGUGGUGCGGUUACAUACCAAGAUACUUGCUUGGAUGGGUUUGAGAACACCACUAGUGAUGCUGGCAAAAAGAUGAAGGAUUUGUUGACGAUAGGCAUGCAUAUGAGCAGCAAUGCCCUUGCCAUUGUAACAGGUUUGGCUGACACUGUUAAUGAUUGGAAUAUCACAAAAUCAUUUGGGCGUCGCCUCCUUCAAGAUUCUGAGCUUCCGUCAUGGGUUGAUCAACAUAGACUCCUUAAUGAAAAUGCAAGUCCAUUCAAACGCAAGCCUAAUGUUACUGUAGCCAUAGAUGAUAGUGGAGAUUUCAAAAGCAUCAAUGAGGCAUUGAAGCAAGUGCCUGAGAAAAACCGAAAGCCAUUUGUGAUCUACAUCAAGGAGGGCGUUUACCAAGAGUAUGUUGAAGUUACAAAAAAAAUGACCCAUGUGGUGUUUAUUGGUGAAGGGGGGAAAAAGACACGAAUAUCUGGUAACAAAAACUUCAUAGAUGGAACGAACACUUAUAGAACUGCCACUGUCGGUAUGUCUCUUUUCGUGAUUAUCAACUUAAUUAACUUACUACUCCUAUGCAUUUGAGUAAAAAAAAAACUUAAUAACUUAUCCAAUAAAUUUAUUAAAUAUCAUAUGUCAUGUUCUUCAACUUGAAUAAACUCUUUGAAAAGUCCUUUCCUUACUUAACAUUUUAAGGUCCAUAGUUUUUAUUUGAAAACACCUUUAACCCGCCCCAAAAUGAAUAAAUUAAUAAAAGAUACAUUUACAAAAUUUAAAAAAUAAAAAUAUAAACCAUUUUCAAUUCAAGGGAAAUUUUUCAUUCGAAUAAAUAAAUUAACUACUUUACGCAUGCAGCUAUUCAAGGAGAUCACUUUGUGGCCAUCAAUAUGGGGUUUGAGAAUUCUGCUGGACCUCAUAAGCAUCAAGCGGUGGCAUUGAGAGUCCAAGCAGACAAGUCCAUCUUUUACAAUUGCUCAAUGGAUGGGUAUCAAGACACACUUUAUGCACACACCAUGCGUCAAUUCUAUUUUUCAUUCGAAUAAAUAAAUUAACUACUUUACGCAUGCAGCUAUUCAAGGAGAUCACUUUGUGGCCAUCAAUAUGGGGUUUGAGAAUUCUGCUGGACCUCAUAAGCAUCAAGCGGUGGCAUUGAGAGUCCAAGCAGACAAGUCCAUCUUUUACAAUUGCUCAAUGGAUGGGUAUCAAGACACACUUUAUGCACACACCAUGCGUCAAUUCUAUAGAGAUUGCACCAUUUCAGGUACCAUCGACUUUGUGUUCGGUAAUGCACUAGCUGUUUUUCAAAAUUGCACUUUCGUGGUCCGAAAGCCAAUGGAGAACCAACAAUGCAUUGUGACUGCACAAGGUAGAAAAGAGAUACAACAACCAUCUGGAAUAGUAAUCCAAGGGGGAUCCAUUGUGUCUGAUCCUGAAUUCUACUCAGUGAGAUUUGAGAACAAGGCUUACCUAGCUCGUCCAUGGAAGAAUUACUCUAGGACCAUUAUCAUGGACACAUACAUUGAUGAUUUGAUUGACGCGGAUGGGUAUUUGCCAUGGCAAGGACUAGAGGGUCCUUCUGGUAUGGAUACUUGCUUCUAUGCCGAGUACCACAACAUUGGCCCUGGUUCAGACAAAUCCAAGCGUGUGAAAUGGGCUGGGAUUUGGAACCUCAAUUCAAAAGCAGCACGUUGGUUCUCACCAUCUAAGUUUUUUCAUGGAACUGAUUGGAUUGAGGUUACUGGAAUUCCUUACUUUCCUGGCGUGCCGAAACACCAUAGGCACAAAAAGACAAUACUUAAUUGGCAAUAAAAGUAAUGAGUUGCGAAAGCAAGCAAUAUAAAUUAAUUAAAAAGUAAUGAUUGUGCUUCUUUAUUCUUUAAUUAUUUUUAUUUCAUUACUUAACUUUAGAGUUAGCUACAUUUUUUUAUCUCAAGGAAUUGAAAUCAAUGUAGCACAAUUCCUCUCUUGAUAACUUUUUGUUUAGUGGAUAAUAAAUGGGUCUUCUAUAUAUUCUUAAUUACAUUUGCAUCUAAUUUGAUUUUUACGUAAGUAAAGUGAUUUGUUGCUAUGUACUUUUAAUUGUUACAUUUGGCCUUUUCUUUUUCAACCAUCAUUUAUCAAAAUAAAAUUAUGAUGAAGCAUUUACAUAUUGGUGAAUUUAAUCAACACGACUACUUAAAUUUAACUCAUUGAAUGUGCUGUUUAAGUUUUAUUAAUCUUGUCACAAGUCUUUAUUGUAUUCUAUAUAGAUAAAAAAAUAAGUAAAAAAAAAUGACAAGGAUAAAAAAUAAUAUUUCAAACAAAUAAUUAAUGAUAUUUUAUUAUAAAUGAAGUAUAUCCGUAUCAAAGCCAUUAGAUUUGAACCUUAGUGUGAUCAUUGUACAUAAAAAAAAAAUAUCAAUGUGUCAUAUUAUUUUAUGACAACAUUGUUUGUGCAAGCUACAUUAUUAUUAAGAAAUUAUAUAUAUAUAGGUUUCAAGGACAUUAAGCUUAAGCUUACCUACAUCUAUAAAACAUUUUCCUCUUGACUUGUCCAUCAAUACAAUUUAAAUUUUUAUUAAUUUAACCAAUAAAAAAAUACAUUAAAAAGGUAUUUCUAGCACUACUCUUAAAUACAAUGACAAGGAAAGAAACCAAGUUACUCAAGUUGUUAUUCGCUAGGUAGGUAAUAUUACAUCCCAUUUAGAAGAGAAAUUUUAGCAAAGAUAUUGUUAAUACUAUUAUUAACUGAAAUUUUUUAGAAAUUAUAAAAUUAUUUAAUUUUUGUUAAAUUACAAUUUUUCUUACCUUCAUUUUCCAAAUUCAUGAUUUUGGUCCUCCUGAUUUUUAAUUUUAAAAUUUGAUCUUCCAAAUUUUGUAAAUUUAUAAUUUUGGUCAUCCUUAUAGAAUAUUAAACUAAUAAUUAUGAUUAACAGAUUUAUUAAAUUAACUAUAAAUUAAAUAAAAAUUAUUAAUCAUUAAAAAAUCUUAACAAAUGAUUAUUAAUUCUAAUGAUAUUGUUGCUAGUGGAUUCCUAUGUGAUGAUAGAGGUGAAAGAAGUAUUUACAGAAAAAAGUAAGGACACUCUCUUGUGAAGGAUCAAGGUUAAUAAUUUUUAUUAAAAUUUUAAUAGUUAGUGGGUUUUAAUUAAUUUAUAAUUAAAUUAAUAACAGUUUAAUCAAAAUUAUUUAUUAAUAAUCUAUCAGUGGAACAAAAAUCAUCAAUUUAUAAAAAUAAGAAAAUCAAAUGUUAUAAUUAAAAAUCAAGAGGACCAAAAGCAUAGAUUAAAAAAAUAGAAGGACAAAAAUUAUAAUUUAACCUUUAAUUUUUAUUAUUUAUUUAAUAAAUCUCAUUAUUGAUUUUUAAACUUUUAAUGAAUUUAAAAUAGAAGGAAUAAAACUCUCUCUUAUUUAAGUUUUAAAAUUUAAAAUUAUAAAAAUAAGAAAAUAAUUUUUUUUAAAUUUCUUUGCUUUCCUUCUUAAUUAAAUAAAACAUUUAAUUAAAAUAUUUUUUUUCUCUCUUCAGUUUAGAUCACUCACAUUCCUUCCUGAAAUAUUCAUUCACCAAGAAACUCAAUAUAUUUUAUUUGGAUUUCCAAGACAAUUUUCUCUUGUUUGAAACGAUAAAAAUUUAAGGAAAGAAAACUCAACACAAAUCUCACCUCGAAAUGUUUUCCAGCUCCCCAUCAUGCCAAAAUAUCCUGACAGGUAGCGACUAAGGGCAUAUUGUGAGGAAAAUAGUUUCACGUGUUGGUUUCACCUCCACUCAAAAGAUAACUACAUAAAAUACAAGUUUUCUAUAAGAAUGAUUUAGUGAGAGAAUUUAAAGAUAAAGGGUGAAGGAGAAAAGAAGAAGAGAUUGUAAUGGUAAAUCUCUUAUCAACAUUUUUAAUAAAAACUAACAAAUGAACAUCUGUUGAUAAAAAAAUCAUAAACUACAAUUGUCUCUUGUAUUCUUUCUUAUUAUUAAAAGGAGAAGGAAAAAAAAUAAAAAAUAAAAACUCAUUUAUUUGUAAUUUCCUUUAUAACUAAUGAUGAAGGCUGAGAUGUACUCUAAGAGAUAGAAAGAGAACAUAGUGUAGAGAAAAGAUGAGAAAAUUAUAUACGAGUUAUUAUUCUUUCUUGAAAUAAAUUUAUAUUUAUAAUUUUUCCUGUUUCAUAAAAGUGAGCAUUACUUAUUUAGCUCUUUUAAAUGAUAUAUUUAUGUUUGACUGUGAAAUGUCUUGCUUAAACCAUCAAAGAUCAAAUAUGAAAGAUGAUCAAUUUGAAAGGAAAAAAACAUGAAAAAUAUUAAAGAAUUUAACUGAAUAACUUAAGAUGAUACAUAAAUUAUUGUGAACUCUCACAUUAUCUAUCUUAGAUUUAAAAAAAAACAAACCUGAAAAAACUAUAUUUUAAAAAAAUUCAAAGGGAUACAAGUCAAGAAAAAUGAUAUUACUAAGAUAUAGCAUUAGAAUUAUGAAAUUUUAAGUAUUACAUUACAAUUUAAAUCGUAUGUAUUGCUAACCAAAUUAACCUCAAAUGUCAUGCACCUAACCAAAUUAACCUUCUAUAAAUCUAUGUACAAACAUAAUUUUUCACUUAUCACCUCUCGACCAUAUUCUAACAGCACCUAACCUUCGAAAUCCACAUAUUUUGACUCUUUCAACGUCACCUUCUCCAUUUGAUUAUUCAAAUUUACCAUAUCAAUAACAACUCAACUCCCCUUCCCACCUCAAUUUUCAUAUUCCAUCUAAUGCAAAAUCAAUCAUAAUUUUGUGUCAAAGAUAUAAGGUGAAUUGAAUGAUUAAAGAAAAACUAAAGAGAAAAAAGUCACAAAUUUAAUCUCUUUUAUUAACAGUAGUAACAAUAAAUAUUUAUAUUUUAAAAAAACAUAGUUUUGUCUGGAAAAUGCCUAGUGAUGAACUGAUGAUGCACUCAAGUACUAAAUUGACAUACAUCAUUUCCUCUCCACGAUUGACACGUUGGUUUUCCGCUCCAAGGAAAAAAAGACUUGAAUGUAAUUAGAUUAUAUCUCUCUCCUUAAGUUGUAACAACAGUUACAACAUUUCCAUGGUUCCACCUAUUUCUUGAGGUGUGUGGAUUAUCUCCUGCCAUCUUGCCUCUCCAACAAGAAAAACAAAGAGAGGAGAGGGCAUAGAAUAGAAAAGAGAGAGAUAAGUUGAAAGAUAAAAAAAAAAACAAUAGAAAAGGAAGAGAAAGAUAGAGAUGUUGAAGAAGGUCGGAGAGGAUCUGAAUAUUUACUCAAGCUAAGCUUGUAGUAUCUAAUAACAUUAUUGUUUGUAUUUUAAAAAACUCAGGAUAUUUAUUUUUCAUAAAUUAAUAACUAAUUCUUUGAAGUAUUGAAAUGAUUUAAAAGACCAACCUUUUCUUAUAGAUUUUUUUUUACUCCUAAUAGAUAUCAAGAAUGACAAGGCUUAAUCAAAUUUGUUUGAUAAAUAAAAAUGAGAGACACAAGAACAACUUUAAAUAAUUUGAAACUAACAAAGUAUGACUGCAUUAAAAUAAUAAAAUGUAUACUAAAAAUAAUAAGAUAUAAUUUUGGCCAUAAAAUCAUGAAAACAAUAACUGAGUAUUGUAUUUUUAUAAUAUAUAAUAUAUAAUUAUAUAAAUAUGAGUAUUGUAAUUUUAUAACUAUGGACAAAGAUAUGCACUAUUUAUCUAUUGAUUUUCACAAACAAUAAAUAAAUAGUGCGUAUCUUUGUCCACAGUGAAGUUUUUCUUCUGUGUACUUUGAUUCCGGAGAAGAUGAGAAAAAGAAGAUUUUAAUUUGCUUUCUUGACUAUUCUUUGUCCCUGUAUGUUUGUGAUCCUAUGAGUCAUAUGGAUUGACAAUUCAUAUGAUUCAUACGGGUCAACAAUUCGUAUGAGUUUUAAAAAAAUUCAUACAGGUCACCAAUCCGUAUAACUUAUACAGAUCGUCAAUCCAUAUGAAUCAUACGGAUCACCAACUCCUUUCACCCGUGUUGCUGGAUGUUCCAACAAAAAUGUUGGGUGACCAAAACAACUACCUUUUUACUGGUUGGUACUUUUCCAGGGUCGCUAGCAACAUGUGAUGCAACUUGGACUGUUACUUUCUCCAUCUCCAACUAUUUCAUGUAGGCUCUGGCUAUUACACCUACGUAUUUCCUAAGUACACCCCUGUACCCCCUAUGCCUCUCAAUUACCCUUUAUACUCUUUUUCUUAAAAGCAUAUGUCCCUUUUGCUUUCAGAAAUGUAUUUAUGGAAUUACACAUUCAUAUUCUGGAAAUGUAUCUUCGAAACUAUGAUUCAUAGUUCCAAAGAUAUACUUCUAGAAUUGGUAUAUAUUUUUUUAAUAAAAUAUCAUUUAAGAAUUAAGAUGAUUGAUAAGAAAUUAAAAAAAUAUAAUAAAUAAUUAUCUUAUAUUCAUGUUUAUUAGUCUUAUUUUCAUCUCAUCAUUAAUGUUCUUUAAACCUUAAUCAUAAACUAUUGUCAUCGUAUAUUCAUUAUAUGAUAUAAUAUUUUUAUCAUUAUUUUAGAAUAUUUUAUGUUUUCCUUUAUGUGACACUAAAUUCCAACAUACGUUCACCACUAACUUCAUAUAGUAUACAUCUUUAUUACAAAGCAAGACUGUUGACGAUGAUUUUCUUUCUUUAAGUGUGUUCCUUCAUUUUAUAAUCAUAGUCUACGUCAAUGAUUCAGUGUCACGUGAAGUUAAUGAUGAACGUACCUUGAAACGCAUUUUCACAUGAAGUAAAACAUAAAAUAUUGUAUAAUAAAGAUUAAAAAAUAAUAUAAUAUAAAAAAUAUAUGGUGAAAAUAGUUUAAAAUUAGGAUUUAAAGAAUAAUAAAGAUAAGAUAAAAAUAACAUUUUAGAUAAGAUUUAAAGAACAUUAAUGAUAGGAUGAAAAUAAAACUAAUAAACAUGGACAUAAAUACGUUUAUAAUCUUUUUUAGUUUCUUGUCAACCAUCUUAAUUCUUAGGUGAUAUUUUAUUAAAAAAAUAUACAUAUUCUUGAAGUAUAUCUCUAAAACUAUGGAACUAUGAAUCAUAGGUCUGAGAAUAUAUUUUCAAAAUAGGUAUAUGUAAUUUCAGAAUUACAUUUCAAGAAAACCAAAGGGGUAUACUUCUUUAAGAAGAAGACAUAAUAAUUAAUUGAGGUAAAAAAGGAAAUAAGGGAUGUACUUAAAAAAUGAGGAUGUAAAUAGCAAGAACCUAUCAUUUUCAUAAUAUUAUUUUAUCUUUAGGAAGGAAAAAAAAAUUCUUGAAGUAUAAUUUUGCAUUUUGAAUUCAUCAUUUCAUUUACGCGGCCUGUGCCUACUUUUCUUUGUGGUGAGCUUUCGUUGGUCAAAAUUAAGCAGGGUGUGGUGUAACAAUAUUGUGUAUUAUAAAAAUUAACUUCCAUAGUGUUUUGAACUGAAUAAAUAUUAGAUCGUGAACAUGGUUUUUUUUAAUUAGUGAACUGAUAUUAUGACUUGUCUUUAUUUAUCUCUCUAAUCUAGCUUUGAUAUAGACUAACGUACUAGGAUUAAAAUACCCGUUAAUCGCAAUACUCUCUUCUAAUAAAAUUUUGCUUAUGGGAAGAAAAGAUAAAUUAUUAAAUUAAGAAACCUUAUUAUUUAAUUUUGAGUGAAGUGAAGAUGAAUGGAAUAGGAAAAGUCCACAACAACAAGAUGACAAAAUGGGAGGUAAAGAUCCCAUGCUGCUCGUUUUCUUUCUACUCAUAAUAUUUAGUAAAACAACAACAGCCACAGAAGAUGCAUGCAUGGUACGUGCAUGUGCAAAAAUAACUCAUACUUUACAUUAAACAGAUCGAUAUGUAAUCUAAUAUAUAGGUACGUGCAGCAUGUGAUGAAGAAUUGCCGGGGAUAUGGUUAAUCAUAUCAUCACCUUCUGAAGCUCCCAUUAUGAGCAGAAGGUGCCUUUGUUGCUAUCACUCUUCCUGCAUAGUAGUGUUGCGAUCAGGCAGCUUGAGCACAGUGUAGGCACCUGCCCCACAUAGAGAUCCAAGUAUUGGAGCUGUGAGAUAGAUCCAUAUGCCCUUGUAGUUGUGUGCAGCAAUUGCUGGACCCAGUGUUCUAGCCGGGUUCAUUGAACUCCCAGUUGCUGCCCUUUAAUUAGUAGUACAUGAUAAUAAUUAAUUAGGGGACCAUUUUUUUUAUAAAUAAAUAAAAAAGAUUGGAUUAUGCCAAGAAUAAUUCAAAUUAUCGAAACAACUGCUAAACGUUUGCGUAAUACUAUAUCAUUUAACGACGUCAUAUCUUAUGUUCCUAGUGAUGCUUGUUGUAAUAUGUUUUAUAUUUUCUUUUAUGGAUAACCUUGCCCCCGAGCAAUUAGCAUAUUUGAAUAAUAAGAUGGGACAUAUAUAUACCCCGCCAUGAGUAUGUUGAUCAUGACAGUGGCUCCCACCACGAUUCCCGCGAACAAUCGCACCUGCACCAUAAUGAUUCCCGGGAACUCUCGCACCUGCACCAUAAUAUAACACGUCAAAUUAAAUCAACAGCAUUAUAAUGAUACGAUUUAGCUGUUAUCAAUAAUCUAUAUACUAUAAUAUAACAUAUAUAUACUUACUAAUUUGUUACAUAUAUUAAUGCACCUGUAUUAUUGCUAUAUAUUGUUCAAUUAUUCAUCAUAACAAUAUGUUAUGUUUCAAACAAACUAUGUUUAAUUUUUAUGGGUUGCAAUUAACGGCAAAGUUCCAAAUCCCUUUUGUUGUUUAGCUCAUAAACACACCAAACUGUAUGUUCAUGUUUAAUAUCGCAAAUUAACGAACAAAAAUAUGCGGAGAUUUAUUUUCCAUUAAUAACCCUCGUCUUGGAUACGUACCGCCCUCCUCUUGUCUGGGUAGGUAGACUCUUGCAUAUUUCAUCAGCAAUGAGAACCAAUUUCUGGCUCAACUACGGAAACUUACUCCCUACGUGCAUGCCUAAAAUCUUUUAAAAAUAAUUUUAUUUAUAACUUGUUUUCUUUAUGGUCUAUUUUUGGUGCAUGCACGAAUAUCAUGAGCUUCGUGGAUCUAGGUGGCAGGGCAUGAGGGCCUCCCAUGUAUUGUCGUUGACUUGUGUCCUUUUAAAAUUGAAAUCAUGUAUUAAUCGAACAAAACUUAAUAAUGAUCUGAUAUGACACAAAAGCAUAUAAAAACCUAGAAAUACACCAAAACGUUCUUCAGAGUUUACAGUAUCACUUAUCUCCUUCAAAUUAACACUUGUUUGACGUAAUUAAUUAAGCUUUGUCGAUCUCAGAACAUCCUUUUCACAUACUUCAACUGAUUCGGCUUAGUUACUUAAUUAUCAGAUGAAGAAAGUAGUGGUUAGUAGAGUAAAAUACUCACAACUCUUGUGCCGUCGGCCACUGCAGUGACAACGAACAUAAGAGUAAAGCUGACCAUGAACUCUGCAGCGAAAGCUUGCCCAUAUCCCACAGAAGGGACCGUCACUCCACCGCUCAUGAAUGGAUGAAAAAUUAACUUCAGAGCAAAUGCAGCACUCACUGAUGCCAAAACUUGUGCACCAAUAUACACAGGCACCUACAAAUUAGUAAUUCAGAAAAACCUUUAAUAUAUAGUAAUCAGAAAAUAACAAAUACUACAAAGCUUAAUCAAUUAGGUGCAGUUACUUAAUCAACAUUAUCUGGAUUUUUAUUGAAAGACAUUACCAGAAAGACCACCUACAUAUGUAUGUCACUAUACUGUUAUUUAAUUUGUCCAAAAAAAUGAAGGAAAAUUAAUUAAUCAAGGCUUCAUUUUGAAUUACAUUCUUCCACGGCAUGUGCUUUAUUACAGCAAAGGAGAUGGUGACAGCGGGGUUGAGAUGAGCUCCGGAGAUGUGGCCUAUGGAGCAUAUGAUUAUCAUCACAGUAACUCCACUAAUUACUGCACAUCCCACCACUGAUCCUUGUGACUUCUCUUUUUCAAUUGCAGCGCCUAUUGCCGCAGACAUGAGAAGGGAACGUGCCCAGAAACUCUGCUCCAACCUGGUUUAAUUUAAAGUCAACUCAACAACAUUAAUUCACGCAUAUCAUUUUGCUGGAUAAAAAAACUUAGCUUAGUGUAAUUUUGAAUAUACCUUUCUUCCGAGACUAAUGUCCAUUUCUUUGUUGAUCUCUAAAUGGUAAGUAAACUGAAAUCAAGUAAAGGGUUGAUAGAUAAGACAAGAAAAACUAUAUUAGACUAAACAGGUAAAGAGAGAAAAAGAGAAAAAAAGAGAGAAAGUUAAUCCGCAGCAAUAAUAGCAAACAGUCAAAGGGACGCAAAGUUAUCAUCAGCAGCUUCAGAGUUUUGAUUGCCAAUUUUCUUAGUUAAUCCGCCGUUCACUGAGUUAUUAACAAAAUUUCUCGAAGUAUCACAAACAAUAGUCACCAAACCCCUAAAUCAGACACAAGAACAACCACAUUUGGCUAGCAAACAGAUAAACCCUCGAACAAUGCGUCUCUUAGCACAUGAGAAGUUGAACUUACAGUUUGAGAGUGAAACGAUCGGCGCAGUAAAAGUGAGAAAUGAGAAAGGCAAGCACUAGUUGAUUUGGGUGUGUGCGAGCGAGAGAAAAAUGAGCAGCUGUGUCGACGCUGUACAGGUUUAACGGAAAGCCUAUAUAUAGAUGUUGAAAAAAAUUAUAAAAACAGGGCAUGAGGGCCUCCUUCGUGUUUCAUGCACGUUUAUCAUGAGCUUGGUGGGUGGCAGGGCAUGAGGGCCUCCUUCGUGGUUCACGUUUAUCAUGAGCUUGGUGGAUCUAGUGUAAUAGCUUUCUUGAUUUGGAGAAAGUGUAUGAAAGUGGCAUGGGUUGUGCUUUGCUAGUUUCUAGCAUCAGCAGCUUUCAUUUCCCUUUUGUUUCAAACAAACUAUGUUUAAUUUUUAUGGGUUGCAAUUAACCGGCAAGGUUCCAAAUCCCUUCUGUUGUUUAGCUCAUAAACACACCAAACUGUAUGUUCAUGUUUAAUAUCGCAAAUUAACGAACAAAAUUAUGUGGAGAUUUAUUUUCCAUUAAUGAAGAAGGGUUCUCUAGCAAUAGACCAGAAGAUAGAGCAUUCAAUUUAUGUCAUGAAUUAUGCGAUUUGAGUUCUGAAAAUCACCCUGGAAUCCGCCUUACUUUGAUGCUGAAAAUAUAAAGAAAAUAGGCCUCAGUGCCCGUUGCACCAGUGGGAAUUUGAUAUGUAUAGCACCUUUGAUUGACUGAUUGCACCCCAAGUAAUAAUAAAUUAAUAGAAAAAGUAUAUUCCACCUUACUUUCAUAUCCAAAUAUUUAUUUUAAACUUUAUUAUAUUUUUAGUUCAUUAAAUUAAAAGGUAUAUUGCACCCCAAGUAAUAAUAACUUUAUAGAAAAAAUAUAUUCCACCUUACUUUCAUAUCCAAAUAUUUAUUUUAAACUUUAUUAUAUUUUUAGUUCAUUAAAUUAAAAGGUAUAUGUCCUUCAAAUAAAAAUUUAUAUUUUUUUAGUUCCUUAAAUUUAUAAUAAAAUACUUUUUUAGUCUUUUCAAAUUGAGUUUUUUUAUAGUUUAGAUACAUAAUUUGUGGAGUUUUUUUUAAUAGAAGGACUAAUCAAACAUUUUGUAAAAUUGGGUGAAUAAAAAAUAUAAAUUUUUAUCUGAAAACUUGAAAAAGAUACCUCAAAGGAUUAAAAAAUAUAUUAAAAUUUUUAUUUUAAUACCAAAAGCAAAAUCCUUGUACUAUGAUUGCUAGUUCGUUAUAAAAUUAAAAUAUAAAACGGUAUUACAUUUGUAUUUUAAAAUAAAACGUGAUCCCUAAGGAAUUGAUAUUAUUAAUUGACAAUUAUUGUGUACUUUUGGUUUUUUCACGUUAAUCCCAGUGAUGAAGAAUGAGAUAUACUCUAAGAAAAAGAGAAUAGGUUGUAGAGAAAAAAAGAGAAGAUUAUAUUUCUUCAAAUAAAUUUUUAUAUUUAUAAUUUUUUCCUCUUUUAUAAAAGUUAACAUUGCUUUUUUUAUCUCUUUUAAAUGAGAUAUUUAUAUUUACUUGCGAAAAGUUUUGCUUAAAAUCUCAAAGAUCAAUUAUGAAAGAUGACUGAUUUAAAAAAAAAACAUAAAAAAUAUUAAAGAGUUUAACUCAAUUAUUUAAGGGUGAUACAUACGUUAUUGUAAACUCUCACAUUAUUUAUGUUUGAUGUGAUAAAAACAAACAUGAAAAAAAAAACUAUAUUUAUAGUAUCGAUCAUGUUGUACUUAGACAAAGGUCUUUGGUGCCAAACUUUAUCUUAUGUUGCUGCAUGGUGAUACUUUGUCAGCGCUGUAUAUUAUGUCUUUUUGCGUAAGGUUCUUUCCCGCAAUGUUUAUACUCUAGAUUUUUUUUAAGAUACUACUUGGUUGGCACCUGUCUUACACUUUAUCGCACAUAUUAAACAGUAUUAUUAAACUGCAUCAUAACACUGAACCUUUAAUAUUGAAUAUUAAUAAUAAAUAAUAAAAAUAUGACAUGUAAAGGUGACAAGCAAAAACUAAUAUACUUGUAGCAUUUCUAUUCUUGCAAAAUUAUGUUGAACGACUAAUUAAUUAAAAUGAUUUUAUGGAAAAUUUCACAUGUUUAGUUAACCAAAAUCAAUUUUGGCAUCUCUUGUCCAAACACAUACUUACUCCUCUCUCAGGAAAUAAAUUAAAUGCCUCAAUUUCUUUUAAGCGAAACUGUUAUUUAUGAUCACAAAUGUAUUGUUAAGUAGAUAGCUAAUUAGAAUUAGGUGACAUUGAAUUUGACAUGACACAUGAUGUUAGAUAAGUUAUUAUAAUGAUAAAACUAGACUAUUAUAUAUUUUGUCAUGUUACUUGUAUCACAUCUUCACAUAAAACAUUGGCAUAAAUCAGGGAAUGAUUAAUUUCUACUUUCUUUUAAGUACCAAGAAAAGUUUACAGUGAUGUAAUCCUGAAAUGGUAUGAGAAAUGUGAGGUGUUUCUCGAAAUUCUUAUAACCUUUUCCUUUCUAGAGGGUUGGAUCCAACCUCAUUUUAUUGUUGAUUGUCACAACAGCUAACACAAAGUGUUGUACACAAACAAAUGAGGCCACAUGAUUGGCUUGCAUUGCCGAAACACAUGUUGUGAUACCUAGCUAACAAAGAAUUCCUUUACAUUUGAUGGAUAACUAAUAACAUAAUAACUUUUGAGAUUGUUUAACUCUUUUGUUUGUGCUCACGUUGGUUUGGAAUCAAAUGCUUGACAAAAAAGUAUAAUGACAAGAAAAGGAUAAUAAAAAUGGUUUAAGAGAAAUGUGUUUAGUUUAAGAGGAAUGAAUAAAUAAAUAAAAAUGGUUUAUUCAAUUAAAAUAAUUUAUUUUCAAAAUGUAAAGAUCGAUUAUAAAAAAUGUAUAAUCAAUUUUUCACAAAAAAAACUGUAUAAACAAUUGUAGGACAUGAAAAUCAAUUUUCAAGUUUUCAAAAUCGAUUUUCAUAUGAGUGUUUACUGAUAUGGUUGGAGGUAUAUAAUUAAAUUAAAGUAUAAUGGGAUAAUUAAGUACUAGCUUUCUCUUAAAAUUAUCUGUUUCUGUACUAUUGUGUUUACUAAGUCUAAUUUACCUAUAAAUCCAUUUAGAAGAUCUUCUUGCUUAUAUUUUCAGUAUGAAUCAAUAUAAUAAAAGUAAUAAGAAUUUAAGAAUUUAUCCAUUUGCAACCUAUCAUAUAACAUGAGAACAUCUAGCGAUAACUCAAACAUAACUACUUAUUUUCACGACAAUACAAAUCACACCACCAUGUACUUCAAGGAAGUGUAAAUCUGAAUAUGACAGAAGAGAUAUAAGUAAACACGUGCCUAUGACUCAUUUGUAAUCAUAUUGCUACAUACUAUAACAUGUCUAAGAUCUAAUGCGGAGUGGAGAAAGUUAGGCCAAAAGUAAAGACAAAGUAGCUUCAAUAAUGUUAUUUCAAAUGAGUUGAUGAGAGUGGCUUUUGGACAAGUCAUAGCAUAUUUGAUUUGAAUUAUGUCCAAUUCUACGGUGAUAAUCAACUGUGGUUUGGAUCUGUGCUGAAUUUAUUCAUCAUAGGAUACAAAUAAACAACAAUAAGUUAUAUGCAAGAAUUUCUAUCUGGAUUUGUUAAUGAUUUCCAAUCAAACUAUUAUGUCAAGGACUAAAGGCUACCACUGCAAAAGCAUUAAAAAAUAAAAAAAAAUUCUAUGUUGCAUACUUUUUCUAAAAGCAAAUUCUGUCAGCCUUUUUUUUUUUUUUCUCUAGAAUGCGUUAGCAGUGUUUUUUUUUAUUAAAACAACAACAACAGCCACAGAAGAUGCAUGCGUGAUAAGUGCAUGUGCAAAAAUCACUCAUUCUGGGUAAAGUCUUGCUAUCACUCUUGCAGUGUUGCGAUCACUCUUCCUGAUGUGAUCAGGCAGCUUGAGCACAGUGUAGGCACCUGCCCCACAUAGAGAUCUUGUAGUUGUGUGCAGCAAUUGCUGGACCCAGUGUUCUAGCAGGGUUCAUUGAACUCCCAGUUGCUGCCCUUUAAUCAGUAGUACAUGAUAAUAAUUAAUUAGGGGACCAUUUUUUUAUAAAUAAAUAAAAAAAAGAUUGGAUUAUUCCAAUAAUAAUCCAAAUUAUCGGAACAACUGCUAAACGUUUGCGUAAUACUAUAUUAUUUAACGACUUCAUAUAUUAUGUUCCUAGUGAUGCUUGUUGUGAUAUGUUUAUAAUUUCUUUUAUGGAUAACCUGGCCCGCGAGCAAUUAGCAUAUUUGAAUAACGAUACGAUUUAUCUGUUAUCAAUAAUCUAUAUACUAUAAUAUAGCAUAUAUAUACUUACUAAUUUGUUACAUAUAUUAAUGCACCUGUGUUAUUGCUAUAUAUUGUUCAAUUAUUCAUCAUAACAAUAUGUUUUUUAAAAUCUUUUUGAUUAACUCACGUUUUUAAAAAAAAGUUAAUUAAUUACACUAUCAUUCUAAAAUUAUAUUUUCCUUAUCUCUUAAUCUAUUUCAUUACUUUAGAAAGAUAAUAAUUGAAUAAAGAUAUACAAUAUAGGAAAAAAAAUUAAUAUUCUAGAAAUUAAAAAAAAUUAUAAAAAAACAAACAAAUUUUUAAAAAUAAUUUUAUUUAUAACUUUUUUCUUUAAAUGAAUGCUCCGUUUUCUUUAUGGUCUAUUCUUGGUUCAUGCACGAAUAUCAUGAGCUUCGUGGAUCUAGGUGGCAGGGCAUGAGGGCCUCCUCCUAUGUAUUGUCGUUUACUUGUGUCCUUUUAAAAUUGAAAUCAUGUAUUAUUAAUCGAACAAAACUUAUCAUCUGAUAUGACACAAAAGCAUAUAAAAACCUAGAAAUAGACCAAAACGUUCUUCAGAGUUUACAGUAUCACUUAUCUCCUUCAAAUUAACACUUGUUUGACGUAAUUAAUUAAGCUUUGUCGAUCUCAGAACAUGGUUUUUACAUACUUCAACUGAUUCCGCUUAGUUACUUAAUUAUCAGAUGAAGAAAGUAGUGGUUAGUAGAGUAAAAUACUCAGUUCUUGUGCCGUUGGUCACUGCAGUGACAACGAACAUAAAAAUAAAGCUGACAAUGAACUCAUGUGAUUAGUUUAUUUUUUUAAUUUGAAAUUAAGAUGUUAAAAUAUAGGAAAUUAAGGUAUCCUAUGAAGUGGGAUUUGGUUGGUUUAUAUGCAUCAUGUGAUUAGUUUACACUGAUGACUGGUUGCAGUGUAGUGUAGUAGCGUGAACAUUAUUAGAUGAAGAUAGUGUAGUAGCAUGAGUAUUAUUGGAUGAAGAUAACAUAAUGCAAAAGAGAGAGAAAGAAAAGUUGCAAGUUGGUGACUGGUGCUACUCUGGAAUAGCUUUCUUCAUUUGGAGAAAGUGUAUGGAAGUGACAUGGAUUGUGCUUUGCUAGUUUCUAGCAUCAGCAGCUUUCAUUUCCCUUUUGUUUCAAACAAACUAUGUUUAAUUUUUAUGGGUUGCAAUUAACCGGCAAGGUUCCAAAUCCCUUCUGUUGUUUAGCUCAUAAACACACCAAACUGUAUGUUCAUGUUUAAUAUCGCAAAUUAACGAACAAAAAUAUGAGGAGAUUUAUUUUCCAUUAAUGAAGAAGGGUUUUCUAGCAAUAGACCAGAAGAUAGAGCAUUCAAUUUAUGUCAUGAAUUAUGGGAUUUGAGUUCUGGAAAUCACCCUGGAAUCCGCCUUACUUUGAUGCUGAAAAUAUAAAGAAAAUAGGUUGCAGUGAGAACCAUUUUUGGAUUUUUUUUAUUCAAGUGGUACGUACCGCCCUCCUCUUGUCUGGGUAGGUAGACUCUUGCAUAUUUCAUCAGCAAUGAGAACCAAUUUCAGGCUCAACUACGGAAACUUACUCCCUACGUGCAUGCCUAAAAAAAAGUUAAUUAAUUACAUUAUCAUUCUAAAAUUAUAUUUUCCUUAUCUCUCAAUCUAUUUCAUUACUUUAGAAAGAUAAUAAUUGAAUAAAGAUAUACAAUAUAGGAAAAAAAUUAUAAAAAAACAAACAAAUUUUUAAAAAUAAUUUUAUUUAUAACUUGUUUUCUUUAAAUGAAUGCUCCGUUUUCUUUAUGGUCUAUUUUUGGUGCAUGCACGAAUAUAUCAGCUUCUUGGAUCUAGGUGACAGGGCAUGAGGGCCUCCUAUAUAUUGUCGUUGACUUGUGUACUUUUAAAAUGGAAAUCAUGUAUUAAUCGAACAAAACUUAUCAUCUGAUAUGACACAAAAGCAUAUAAAAACCUAGAAAUAGACCAAAACGUUCUUCAGAGUUUACAGUAUCACUUAUCUCCUUCAAAUUAACACUUGUUUGACGUAAUUAAGUAAGCUUUGUCGGUCUCAGAACAUCGUUUUCGCAUACUUCAACUGAUUCGGCUUAGUUACUUAAUUAUCAGAUGAAGAAAGUAGUGGUUAGUAGAAUAAAAUACUCACAACUCUUGUGCGGGUGGCCACUACAGUGACAACGAACAUAAGCAUAAAGCUGACAAUGAACUCUAUAGCGAAAGCUUGCCCAUAUCCCAUUGAAGGGACCGUCACUCCACCGCUCAUGUACGGAUGAAAAAGCGCCUUCAGAGCAAAUGCAGCACUCACUGAUGCCAAAACUUGUGCACCAAUAUACACAGGCACCUACAAAUUAAUAAUUCAGAAAAACCUUUAAUAUAUAGUAAUCAAUGCAAGAAAAUAACAAAUACUACAAAACUUAAUUAAUUAGGUGCAGUUACUUAAUCAAAAUUAUCUGGAUUUUUAUUGAAAGACAUUACCAGAAAGACCACCUACACAUGUAUGUUACUAUACUGUUAUUUAAUUUGUCCAAAAAAAUGAAGGGAAAUUAAUUAAUAAAUUAACACUUAAUUUUGAAUUACAUUCUUUCCAGGGAAGUGCUUUAAUGCAGCAAAGGAAAUGGUGACAGUGGGGUUGAGAUGAGUCUCAGAGAUGUUUCCUGUGGAGAAUAUGAUGAUCAUGACAACAAAUCCACGUAUCUUUACAUUCUCAAUUGCAGAAGAACUGAUGAGUAGGUGGAAACUGAUGAGUUAGGCACAAAGGAAAAGAAGAACUAACUUGUAUGUGGAAGUGGAGUGUGACAAUACAAUAUGGGAUUUGUUAGCGGCCCAUAAUGGGUCAAUCAAUAUGUUUUCCUCCUCUCUUAAGGGAAAAGAUAAACACGAGUGGAAAAAUACAUGAAUGGUUGAAACUGAUGGCAGUUAGGUACAAAGAAAAGAAAAAAGAGGUAGCUGUUUACUUAUGAGGACGUGUUUUGUGUGGGAAAAUACACGGGUUUAGGAAAUUGAUGACAGUUAGGUACAAAGAAAAAGAGGAGGUAGUUAUUUACUUGUACGUGGAAGUAGAGUGUGACAAAUGCAAUAUGGGAUUUGAAAAAGCGGCCCUUAACGUCAGACAUCAAUCAUUAUAUGUACCAUUCAAUGUGCCUUCUGUUAUUUUUUCUAAUCCAUCUUGGCCAUGUUAUUGGAGUCCAAGUGCGAGUAACAAGUCAAACAUUGGAAAAAAAUAAACACAAUAUUGAUCAACAUAUAAGUGAAAAUGACUUACAAACCGUAUGCAUUAUGGCUUUAGAUUAGACGUGGUGUCAAGUUGAUUCAUGUAAUUUUCUUGUGGCUCAUCUAUAGAUAUCUCAAUGUUAUUUUAAUCAUUGUAUUCCCAAACAAAGGGCAUCGAGACAAAUGGUGCCCUCAUGGAGGAACUUUGUUUAUGAAGAAUUUCAAUGUUUUUCUUUUAUUAGCGGAUAUAAAUUUGUAACUUGUUUGAAAUUUAUUAAUCAAUCACUUUUAAUAAAAGAAAUGAAAUGUAAAUCUGAGUUUGAAUUUGUGAGAUUAGAGUGUUAGCUUUUCAAUGUAAAAGAGAUUAAAUAAUAAUAUGGUAAGACAUGUUUUUGUUCUCUAUAAAACUUCUGAAGUUUACUUUUAGUCUAUUAAAAAAAAUUGGUUUAUUUUUUGUCCUUCUAAUUAUAUAAUGUAUCAUUUUUAUCCCCUCAAGUAUUAUUUAAACCACUUUUCGUCUCUCUAUAAAGUACUAUCUAAGCCACAUUAAAGAUAAAAAGUGGUGCGUUUCAAUAUUAGAAAGACAAAAAAAUGGACAAAUUUUUAGAAGGACUAAAACCAAACAUUAGAAAUUUGUGAGAUCAAAGACAUACUCUACAAAAAGAUAAAUCACAAAGUGGCAAGGGUCAAAUAAAAAAUAUAAAACUUUUAUUUCAGGUGAAUUUUACCCAUAGUUUACCUUCUAUUUAAAUGUUUGUGCUAUUUAAAUUUUUCUUUGAACCAAACUAUAUGGCUGUCGAAACAAUUAUGGUAAUGCAAUAGUUAAGAGUAGUUAGUUACAUAAUAAUUAAUUACAAGUCAUCUGGUAUGAUUUAUAAAAUAAUCAUUAUAAAAAUCAAUAAAUUUAUAAUAUAAUAUGAGGUUUAUGAUUGAGUAAUAAUGUAAAAAAAAUUAUUUUAUCCGUAUAUAUACUAUUUACUCUAUUUUGUGUUCAUUUCUUUUAUUUCUUUCUAUUAUUUUUAGGGUCUUAUUUUUCUAUUUUAAAAUGUAAAUAAUAACUUUUCUUAUUUAUACUAUAUAGUAUGAAUAUCCAAAUAGUAGAACAGAGACUGUAAUAUAUGUUUUAUCUUAUUUUAUUUUAUUUUCAUUUUAUUUCAACUUAAGUUCCACAUAUAUGAUUUAUAUUAACAUGCAUGCCAUUAGUUUGAGUACUGAAACUAAAUUCAUAUCGUUUAAUUAAGAUGUUAAAUUUGAAUCUUGUAAAUAAAUAAAAAUUUGAUUGAGAGAAGAAAUUUUCCUUUUUUAUAUAUAAAAGAAAAAUUCUUACUAAAGUGAUUUGAUCUAAAUUGUAUUGUAAAACAUAUAUGAUUGAGAGAAAACUAGCUACAUUUUGCAAUAGAAAUUAGGCAUUUUAGAAAGUAAAUAUUUACAUCAGUAAGAGGGAAAAAAACUUCAUGCCUAUAUUAUUUAUUAGAUUCAUUAGUUAGCUGGAGGAGUAGUUAAGUCACCCUCAACUUUAUUCAAAUUAAUUUCCUAUAGAUCAUUGGACUUGCAGUGUUAAUGAUCUGAUUUGACGUCAACAUAAUUUAAAUUGAUCCGGUGCAGGUGAUGAUUUGGUCUGAAUUGUAUUAUUAUUCAAUUGCGUUCUUUCCGAAAAUAAUUUCAUAAACUUUUCAUAUCAUUAAAAUUGAUGCACAUUUGCUUUUUUAUUCUAAUUGCACAUUUGGUUUAUUCAUACAUGGUUAAGAAAUUUCAUUGUUAGGUGGUUAAGGGUAGUUAGUUACAUAAUUGGUCAAGUGAUUAGGUUAAAUGGAUGGACAAGAGUGGAAGGAGAUUUCAUUCUCAAUAGUUAGUAUUAAGAAAACUGAGCAUUAUCUCAAUUGUAGAAUGGGAAACCCCUGGACGGAGUAUUAACAUCAUAUUUGCCGUGUUGUGAUCUGAAUCUAUAUGCAUUUCUUCCUUAAUACUUCCUAAUUUAUCUUUCCUUUCUUUUGUCACUUCACAUAGAGGAUGAAAUUGAUGAUAUCCAGAAGGUAUAAAUCUUGUAAAUUACAUGUACUUGAUAUUUGUUGUACCCAAAUUUUUACAUUUUUAUUCUGUUCAAUAUUUUCAGGAAAUUUCUGUUCUGUCCCAAUGUCGAUGUCCAUACAUUACUGAAUAUUAUGGUUCCUAUCUCAAUCAAACUAAACUUUGGAUAAUAAUGGAAUACAUGGCUGGUGGCUCAGUUGUUGAUCUAGUAGGCAAAGGCUGCUCGUGACAGAAAUUCAAAUGCCUCAAUUAACCGAUGUAGAAUGUAACUUCUCUAGUAGUGACACAUUAAUUAAACAUAUUUGUUUAAAAAGUAAAUUACACUAAUCGUUCCUAAAAUUUUGUGAAAUUACAUAAAUUUUCUCUACUUGUAUGUACUCCUACACUAAACCCUUAAUUUUAUGAAAAUAUAUAUCAAUACACCUUAUACAUUACAUUAACCGCCCUUAAUUGCUUGAAAAACAUUACGCCAUCCUCCCCUACAAGGGAGGUUUUUGUAAAUAUUAAAAAUUGAGAAAAACUUUAUGUACACCAAAUCUCAUGGAAUGCUAAUUACUGUAUUUUACUAUAGUUUAAAAUUAUAGUUAAAUAUUUAUGGAGUGUGUGCUAACUUGUCUUAAGGAAUUUGUGUACAAACAAAACUUGUUCCUUAAUUUUAAACUUUGGAGGUCAUUUUCAAAGUGUACGCAUAUAAAAAAAGUAUUAAAAAAAUUAUAGAAAGAUAAUAAUUGUAUAUAAUAAAAUAGAUUAUAUUAAUUAUUUCGUAUUCAAAAAGAAUUAUUUGUUUGAUCAUUUUUUUAUUGCUGACAUUUAAGAGUGAAUUAAAGUAAGAAAACUUUCAAUUUGUAACCCGUGUUUAAGACUGGUGCAUAUUGUACUACCAACUAUAGACCUGGUCUGAUACCACAUUUACUAUUGGUAGAGCGUAAAUCAAGGUUAUAACUUAGUGGAUUAGCAUAAAAUUUGUCAAAAAUAGGUCAUAUAAGCUAACCAUAUACACAAUGUGGCCUUUACAUUCCCUCUCUCCCUUUCUUAUUUUAGAAAAUAUGAUUUUUAACGUUUUAACAAACCACAAAUUGCAUUUGAAUGAUUCAAUUGUAUUAGCUGUUCAAUACCAUUUUUUGUAUGCAUAAAUAACACUUUACAUUGCAUCCCUAAACUACAAAAACGUAUUCUUUGAGGGAAUUUGACAAAAAAGUAGCCACUGCCCCAACGAUCCCAUUUCCCUUGACUUCUCUACGUGAAGCUCCUUGUUUUGCAUAGUAUGUGCAUAAAUUAAUAUACAAGUUAAUUUGAGGAAUACAAUAUAUUUAUAUGUUAUGUAAAUGUGACUUUCUUAUUAUUAGAUUUUGAUCUUUAAAAAAAUUAAUUUUGUUUAUUUCGAUCUUCAACAAAAUCAUUAUAUUUCAAAUAGUGUCUAUAGUUACUUGAUGAUGAUGUUAAAUGCAUUUAGUUAUACCGUGUUACAUGUCACAUCAAAAUGGUUGGUGGUGCGACAUGAGUAGCUGCAUGACAUUUUAUAACCAAGCGCAUUAUAUGAAGUUUUUUUCAACAAUUGUAGAGAUAAAAACAAAAGAAAAAAGAAUCAAAAUCAAACAAGCCAUGUUUAGAGUUUAAAAACAUGCCCAUUCUUAAAUAGUGUAUAGGAAUAUUAUGGUCAUAUUACUUGUCACAUUAACUAAUUUUACAGUAAUACUCAUUAAUGACAGGGAGCUAGUUGAAAUGUCCGAGGGAAAUGCAGGGAAAGGAAAGAAAAUCGCCAUCAUUGGUGUCUCAACCUUAUUGUUGGUGGCUAUGGUUGUGGCGGUCACAAUUGGGGUCAAUCUCAAUGAGAAUGGUUCCAACAAUGAUAUAGAGGACAACAAGAAAGAUCAUGUUGCUUCUUCCAUAAAAGCCGUCCAAACCCUUUGUCAUCCCACAAAUUAUGAGAAAGAAUGCGAGGAAAGCCUUAUAGCUGGGGCUGGAAAUACCACAGAUCCAAAAGAACUUAUCAAAAUUUUCUUCAACAUCACCAUUACAAAAAUUGGUGAUAAACUCAAAGAAACUAAUAUUUUGCAUGAGGUUGAGGAGGAACCCAGAGCCAAGAUGGCACUUGACACUUGCAAGCAACUCAUGGAUCUUUCUAUUGGGGAAUUAACAAGGUCACUUGAUGGAAUAAAUGAGUUUAACCUCAUAAAUGUUGACAAAAUCCUCAUGAAUUUAAAAGUUUGGCUUAGUGGUGCGGUUACAUACCAAGAUACUUGCUUGGAUGGGUUUGAGAACACCACUAGUGAUGCUGGCAAAAAGAUGAAGGAUUUGUUGACGAUAGGCAUGCAUAUGAGCAGCAAUGCCCUUGCCAUUGUAACAGAUUUGGCUGACACUGUUAACGAUUGGAAUAUCACAAAAUCAUUUGGGCGUCGCCUCCUUCAAGAUUCUGAGCUUCCGUCAUGGGUUGAUCAACAUAGACUCCUUAAUGAAAAUGCAAGUCCAUUAAAACGCAAGCCUAAUGUUACUGUAGCCAUAGAUGGUAGUGGAGAUUUCAAAAGCAUCAAUGAGGCAUUGAAGCAAGUGCCGGAGAAAAACCGAAAGCCAUUUGUGAUCUACAUCAAGGAAGGCGUUUACCAAGAGUAUGUUGAAGUUACAAAAAAAAUGACCCAUGUGGUGUUUAUUGGUGAAGGGGGGAAAAAGACACGAAUAUCUGGUAACAAAAACUUCAUAGAUGGAACGAACACUUAUAGAACUGCCACUGUCGGUAUGUCUCUUUUCGUGAUUAUCAACUUAAUUAACUUACUACUCCUAUGCAUUUGAGUAAAAAAAAAAACUUAAUAACUUAUCCAAUAAAUUUAUUAAAUGAAACCUUAUUCAUGACUCAGACUGUGAAGCUUACCAAAAUGAGAUUAAAAAAAACUAAAUUUAUUACUCAUGUGCAUUUGGGUAAAAAAAACAUAAUUAAAAACUUAUUCAAUAAAUUUAUUAAAUGAAACCUUAUUCUUGAGUCAAACUUUGAAGCUUACUAAAAUGAGAUUAAAAAAACUAAAUUUGAUAAGUUUCUCCAUAAAACUCUUAAGUUUAUAAAAAUAUCAUAUGUCAUGUUCUUCAACUUGAAUAAACUCUUUGAAAAGUCCUUUCCUUACUUAACAUUUUAAGGUCCAUAGUUUUUAUUUGAAAACACCUUUAACCCGCCCCAAAAUGAAUAAAUUAAUAAAAGAUACAUUUACAAAAUUUAAAAAAUAAAAAUAUAAACCAUUUUCAAUUCAAGGGAAAUUUUUCAUUCGAAUAAAUAAAUUAACUACUUUACGCAUGCAGCUAUUCAAGGAGAUCACUUUGUGGCCAUCAAUAUGGGGUUUGAGAAUUCUGCUGGACCUCAUAAGCAUCAAGCGGUGGCAUUGAGAGUCCAAGCAGACAAGUCCAUCUUUUACAAUUGCUCAAUGGAUGGGUAUCAAGACACACUUUAUGCACACACCAUGCGUCAAUUCUAUAGAGAUUGCACCAUUUCAGGUACCAUCGACUUUGUGUUCGGUAAUGCACUAGCUGUUUUUCAAAAUUGCACUUUCGUGGUCCGAAAGCCAAUGGAGAACCAACAAUGCAUUGUGACUGCACAAGGUAGAAAAGAGAUACAACAACCAUCUGGAAUAGUAAUCCAAGGGGGAUCCAUUGUGUCUGAUCCUGAAUUCUACUCAGUGAGAUUUGAGAACAAGGCUUACCUAGCUCGUCCAUGGAAGAAUUACUCUAGGACCAUUAUCAUGGACACAUACAUUGAUGAUUUGAUUGACGCGGAUGGGUAUUUGCCAUGGCAAGGACUAGAGGGUCCUUCUGGUAUGGAUACUUGCUUCUAUGCCGAGUACCACAACAUUGGCCCUGGUUCAGACAAAUCCAAGCGUGUGAAAUGGGCUGGGAUUUGGAACCUCAAUUCAAAAGCAGCACGUUGGUUCUCACCAUCUAAGUUUUUUCAUGGAACUGAUUGGAUUGAGGUUACUGGAAUUCCUUACUUUCCUGGCGUGCCGAAACACCAUAGGCACAAAAAGACAAUACUUAAUUGGCAAUAAAAGUAAUGAGUUGCGAAAGCAAGCAAUAUAAAUUAAUUAAAAAGUAAUGAUUGUGCUUCUUUAUUCUUUAAUUAUUUUUAUUUCAUUACUUAACUUUAGAGUUAGCUACAUUUUUUUAUCUCAAGGAAUUGAAAUCAAUGUAACACAAUUCCUCUCUUGAUAACUUUUUGUUUAGUGGAUAAUAAAUGGGUCUUCUAUAUAUUCUUCAUUACAUUUGCAUCUAAUUUGAUUUUUACGUAAGUAAAGUGAUUUGUUGCUAUGUACUUUUAAUUGUUACAUUGUUGGCCUUUUCUUUUUCACCUUCAUUUAUCAAAAUAAAAUUAUGAUGAAGCAUUUACAUAUUGGUGAAUUUAAUCAACACGACUACUUAAAUUUAACUCAUUGAAUGUGCUGUUUAAGUUUUAUUAAUCUUGUCACAAGUCUUUAUUGUAUUCUAUAUAGAUAAAAAAAUAAGUAAAAAAAAUGACAUGGAUAAAAAAUAAUAUUUCAAACAAAUAAUUAAUGAGAUUUUAUUAUAAAUGAAGUAUAUCCGUAUCAAAGCCACUAGAUUUGAACCUUAGUGUGAUCAUUGUACAUAAAAAAAAAAAUAUCAAUGUGUCAUAUUAUUUUAUGACAACAUUGUUUGUGCAAGCUACAUUAUUAUUAAGAAAUUAUAUAUAUAUAUAUAUAUAUAUAUAUAUAUAUAUAUAUAUAUAUAUAUAUAUAUAUAUAUAUAUAUAGGUUUCAAGGACAUUAAGCUUAAGCUUACCUACAUCUAUAAAACAUUUUCCUCUUGACUUGUCCAUCAAUACAAUUUAAAUUUUUAUUAAUUUAACCAAUAAAAAAAUACAUUAAAAAGGUAUUUCUAGCACUACUCUUAAAUACAAUGACAAGGAAAGAAACCAAGUUACUCAAGUUGUUAUUCGCUAGGUAGGUAAUAUUACAUCCCAUUUAGAAGAGAAAUUUUAGCUAAGAUAUUGUUAAUACUAUUAUUAACUGAAAUUUUUUAGAAAUUAUAAAAUUAUUUAAUUUUUGUUAAAUUACAAUUUUUCUUACCUUCAUUUUCCAAAUUCAUGAUUUUGGUCUUCCUGAUUUUUAAUUUUAAAAUUUGAUCUUCCAAAUUUUGUAAAUUUAUAAUUUUGGUCAUCCUUAUAGAAUAUUAAACUAAUAAUUAUGAUUAACAGAUUUAUUAAAUUAACUAUAAAUUAAAUAAAAAUUAUUAAUCAUUAAAAAAUUUUAACAAAUGAUUAUUAACUCUAAUGUGAUAUUGUUGCUAGUGGAUUCCUAUGUGAUGAUAGAGGUGAAAUAAGUAUACACCGUGUUGUGAAGGAUCAAGGUUAAUAAUUUUUAUUAAAAUUUUAAUAAUUAAUGGGUUUUAAUUAAUUUAUAAUUAAAUUAAUAACAGUUUAAUCAAAAUUAUUUAUUAAUAAUCUAUCUGUGGAACCAAAAUCAUCAAUUUAUAAAAAUAAAAAAACUAAAUGUUAUAAUUAAAAAUCAAGACGACCAAAAGCAUAGAUUUAAAAAAUAGAAGAAGAACAAAAAUUAUAAUUUAACCUUUAAUUUUUAUUAUUUAUUUAAUAAAUCUCAUUAUUGAUUUUUAAACUUUUAAUGAAUUUAAAAUAGAAGGACUAAAACUCUCUCUUAUUUAAGUUUUAAAAUUUAAAAUUAUAAAAAUAAGAAAAUAAAUAAUUUUUAAAAAUUUCUUUCCUUUCCUGCUUAAUUAAAUAAAGCAUUUAAUUAAAAUCUCUUUUCUCUCUUCGAUUUAGAUCGCUCACAUUCCUUCCUGAAAUCAUUGUUUCGGUUUUAUUUCUUCUUAAUAUGAAUUAGUAACCAUGCGGCCAAAACCUCAUAAAUUAUAUCAUUCACCAAGAAACUCAAUAUAUUUUAUUUGGAUUUUCAAGAUAAUUUUCUCUUGUUUGAAACGGUAAAAAUUUAAAGAAAGAAAACUCAACACAAAUCUCACCUCUAAAUGUUUUCCAGCCCCCCACCAUGCCAAAAUAUCCUGGCAGGCAGUGGCUAGGGGCAUAUUUUGAGGAAAAUAGUUUAUCGUGCUGGUUUCACCUCCUCUCAAAAGAUAACUACAUAAAAUACAAGUUUUCUAUAAGAAUGGUUUAGUGAGAGAAUUUAAGGAUAAAGGGUGAAGGAGAAAAGAAGAAGAGAUUGUAAUGGUAAAUCUCUUAUCAACAUUUUUAACAAAAACUAACAAAUGAACAUCUGUUCAUAAAAAAAUCAUAAACUACACUUGUCUCUUGUAUUCUUUCUUAUUAUUAAAAGGCUGAGAUGAAGGCUGAGAUGUACUCUAAGAGAUAGAAAGAGAACAUAGUGUAGAGAAAAGAUGAGAAAAUUAUAUACGAGUUAUUAUUCUUUCUUGAAAUAAAUUUAUAUUUAUAAUUUUUCCUGUUUCAUAAAAGUGAGCAUUACUUCUUUAUCUCUUUUAAAUGAUAUAUUUAUGUUUGACUGUGAAAUGUCUUGCUUAAACCAUCAAAGAUCAAAUAUGAAAGAUGAUCAAUUUGAAAGGAAAAAAACAUGAAAAAUAUUAAAAAAUUUAACUGAAUAACUUAAGAUGAUACAUAAAUUAUUGUGAACUCUCACAUUAUCUAUCUUAGAUUUUUAAAAAACAAACCUGAAAAAACUAUAUUUUAAAAAAAUUCAAAGGGAUACAAGUCAAGAAAAAUGAUAUUACUAAGAUAUAGCAUUAGAAUUAUGAAAUUUUAAGUAUUACAUUACAAUUUAAUUCGUAUGUAUUGCUAACCAAAUUAACCUCAAAUGUCAUGCACCUAACCAAAUUAACCUUCUAUAAAUCUAUGUACAAACAUAAUUUUUCACUUAUCACCUCUCGACCAUAUUCUAACAGCACCUAACCUUCGAAAUCCACAUAUUUUGACUCUUUCAACGUCACCUUCUCCAUUUGAUUAUUCAAAUUUACCAUAUCAAUAACAACUCAACUCCCCUUCCCACCUCAAUUUUCAUAUUCCAUCUAAUGCAAAAUCAAUCAUAAUUUUGUGUCAAAGAUAUAAGGUGAAUUGAAUGAUUAAAGAAAAACUAAAGAGAAAAAAGUCACAAAUUUAAUCUCUUUUAUUAACAGUAGUAACAAUAAAUAUUUAUAUUUAAAAAAAACAUAGUUUUGUCUGGAAAAUGCCUAGUGAUGAACUGAUGAUGCACUCAAGUACUAAAUUGACAUACAUCAUUUCCUCUCCACGAUUGACACGUUGGUUUUCCACUCCAAGGAAAAAAAGACUUUAAUGUAAUUAGAUUAUAUAUCUCUCCUUAAGUUGUAACAACAGUUACAACAUUUCCAUGGUUCCACCUAUUUCUUGAGGUGUGUGGAUUAUCUCCUGCCAUCUUGCCUCUCCAGCAAGAAAAACCAAGCGAGGAGAGGACAUAGAAUAGAAAAGAGAGAGAUAAGUUGAAAGAUAAAAGAAAAAAUAGAAAAGGAAGAGAAAGAUAGAGAUAUUGAAGAAGGUCGGAGAGGAUCUGAAUAUUUACUCAAGCUAAGCUUGUAGUAUCUAAUAACAUUAUUGUUUGUAUUUUAAAAAAUUCAGGAUAUUUUUUUCAUAAAUUAAUAACUAAUCCUUUGAAGUAUUGAAAUGAUUUAAAAGACACACCGUCUCUUAUAGAUUUUUUUUUUUUACUCGUAAUAGAUAUCAAGAAUGACAAGGCUUAAUCAAAUUUGUUUGAUAAAUAAAAAUGAGAGACACAAGAACAACUCUAAAUAAUUUGAAACUAACAAAUUAUAACUGUAUUAAAAUAAUAAAAUGUAUACUAAAAAUAAUAAGAUAUAAUUUUGGCAAUAAAAUAAUGAAAACAAUAAUUGAGUAUUGUAUUUUUUAUAAUAUGUAAUUAUAUAAAUAUGAGUAUUGUAAUUUUAUAACUAUGGACAAAGAUACGCACUAUUUAUCUAUUGAUUUUUACAAACAAUAGAUAAAUAGUGCGUACCUUUGUUCAUAGUGAAGCUUCUCUUUUGUGUACUUUGAUUCUUGGAAAGAUGAGAAAAAGAAGAUUUUAAUUUGCUUUCUUGACUAUUUUUUGUCCCUCUACGUUUGUGAUUCGUAUUGACAAUUCAUAUGAUUCAUACGGAUCAACAAUUCAUAUGAGUUUAAAAAAAAUUCAUAAAGAUCAUCAAUCCGUAUGAGUUAUAUGGAUCGCCAAUCCAUAUGAAUCAUAUGAAUCACCAAUCCCUUUCACCUAUGUUGCUGGGUGUUCCAGCAAAAAUGUUGGGUGGCCAAAACAACUACCUUUUUAUUGGUUGGUACUUUUCGAGGGUCGCUAGCAACAUGUGAUGCAACUUGGGCUGUUACUAUUUGCAUCUCUAACUAUUUCAUGUAGGCUCUGGCUAUUACACCUACGUAUUCCCUAAGUACACCCAUGUACCCCCCCUUUACCUCUCAAUUACCCUUUAUACUCUUUUUCUUAAAAGCAUAUACCCCUUUUGCUUUCAGAAAUGUAUUUAUGGAAUUACACAUUCAUAUUCUGGAAAUGUAUCUCCGAAACUAUGGUUCAUAGUUCCAAAGAUAUACUUCUAGAAUUGGUAUAUAUUUUUUUAAUAAAAUAUCAUUUAAGAAAUAAGAUUAUUGAUAAGAAAUUAAAAAAAUAUGAUAAAUAUUUAUCUUAUAUUCAUGUUUAUUAGUCUUAUUUUCAUCUCAUCAUUAAUGUUCUUUAAACCUUAAUCAUAAACUAUUGUCACCGUAUAUUCAUUAUAUAAUAUAGCAUUUUUAUCAUUAUUUUACAAUAUUUUAUGUUUUCCUUUAUGUGACACUGAAUUCCAACAUACGUUCAUCACUAAUGUCCAUUUUGCUAGAUAAGGAACUUAGCUCAAUACAAUUUUGAAUAUACCUUUUUUCAAGAAUAAUGUUCAUUUCUUUUUCUAUUGAUCUCUAAGUAGUUAGUAACUUAGAAACCAAGUAAAGGGUUGAUAGAUAAGACAAGAAAAACUAUAUUAGACUAAAUAGGGAAAGAGAGAAAAAGAGAAAAAAAAGAGAAAGAUAUCCUUGAGAUUGAUGUUAAGAUUGUUUUGUCUUUGAUUUGGUUUGGUUUAGGGUGAGGAUGCAAAGAGUGAAGAUCUAUUAUAUAGGAGGGGUGUGAGUGAUUGAAACUGAUGAGUUAGGCACAAAGGAAAAGAAGAACUAACUUGUACGUGGAAGUGGAGUGUGACAAUGCAACAUGGGAUUUGUUAGGGCCCAUAGUGGGUCAAUCAAUAUGUUUUCCUCCUCUCUUAAGGGAAAAGAUAGACACAUGAGUGGGAAAAUACAUGAGUGGUUGAAACUGAUGGCAGUUAGGUACAAAGGAAAAAAAGAGGUAGUUGUUUACUUGUACGAGGAUGUGUUCGGUGUGUGGGAAAAUACACGGGUUUGGGAAACUGAUGAUAGUUAGGUACAAAGAAAAAGAAGAGGUAACUGUUUAACUGUAUGUGGAAGUGGAGUGUGACAAAUGCAAUAUGGGAUUUGAGAAAGAGGCCCUUAACGUUAGACAUCAAUCAUUAUAUGUACCAUUCAAUGUGUCUUCUGUUAUUUUUUCUAUUCCGUUUCUUCUUGGCCAUCGUUUUUCUCUGUGCAUUACUGCACUGUAAGAUGCAUUUGUCUCAGCCAUCAUCAGGGAUGAAUUGAAAUUAUGAGCAAUGCAUGUUGUUUGUUAUAUAAUAUAUAUGUAAUGGAACACAUGACUUUCUGCAUAUUGCAUGGUUGCAAGACACUGUGGAUGUUGAUCGAGCCUUGAAUAUGGCAGUUAGGUACACGGUUAGCAUGCAUUGCCGAAACACAUGUUGUCAUAUCUAGCUAGCAAAGAAUUCCUUUACAUUUGAUGGAUAAUUAAUAACUUUUGAGAUUGUUUAACUCUUUUGUUUGUGCUCACGUUGGUUUGGAUUCAAAUGCUUGACAAAAAAAGAUAAUGACAAGAAAAGGAUAAUCAAAAUGGUUUAAGAGAAAUGUGUUUAGUUUAAGAGGAAUGAAUAAAUAAAUAAAAAUAAUUUAUUCAAUUAAAAUAAUUUAUUUUCAAAAUAUAUAGAUCGAUUGUCAAAAUGUAUAAUCAAUUAUUCAAAAAAAAAAUUGAUAAUCAAUUGUAGGACAUGAAAAUCAAUUUUCAAGUUUUCAAAAUCGAUUUUCAUAGAGUGUUUACUGAUAUGGUUGGAGGUAUAUAAUUAAAUUAAAGUAUAAUGGGAUAAUUAAGUAUUAGGUUUCUCUUAAAAUUAUCUCUUUUGUUCUAUUGUGUUUACUAAGCCUAAUUUAACUAAAAAUCCCUUUAGAAGAUCUUCUUGCUUAUUUAUUCAGUAUGAAUCAAUUUAAUAAAAGUAAUAAGGACUCAAGAAUUAUCCGUUUGCAACCCAUCAUAUAACAUGAGAACAUCUAGCCAUAACUCAAACAUCACCACUUAUUUCCACUACCACACAAAUCACACCAUCAUGUGCUUCAAGGAAGUGUAAAAAUGAAUAUGACAGAAGAGAUAUAAGUAAGCAUGUGCCUAUGGCUCAUUUGUAGUCGUAUUGCUACAUACUAUUAGCAUGUCUAAGAUCUAAUGGGGAGUGGAGAAAGUUACGCCAAAAGUAGAGGCAAAGUAGCUUCAAUAAUGUUAUUUCAAUGGGUCAAGGAGGCUGGCUUUUGGACAAGUCAUAGCAUAUUUGAUUUGAAUUAUGGCCAAUUCUACAGUGAUAAUCAACUGUGGUUGGGAUCUGUGCUGAAUUUAUUCAUUAUCAUAGGAUACAAAUAAACAACAAUAAGUUGUAUGCAAGAAUUUCUCAUUUGGAUUUGUUAAUGAUUUCCAAUCAAACUAAUAUGUAAAAAGGACUAAAGGCUACCACUUCAAAAGCAUUAAAAACUAAAUUUUGUUUAUGUUGCAUCCUUUUUCUAAAAGCAAAUUCUUUCAGCUUUUUUUUUCUAGAAUGCGUUAGCAGUGUUUUUUUUUUAAUAAAUAAGAGAUUCAUAAAUCUAUGACGUACUUUGUCCAGCUACCUAUCUAUUACCCUAUAUGAAUCUUGGCAAAGUCUGACUAAAUUCUAUUCAGUCCUACCUAGCCCAUGCAACAGAUGUUGUUAGUUUGAUUUGCGUUCUCAUAGGAGAAGCCUGACAGCCUAAUGUAACAUGUUUGGAUUAGGCCUAUGAAUAUUAUGCAGCACCAUUGGAGUAAAAACUUGCCGAGUGCAAAAAACUAGUUCAGUGGCUAAAGAGAAGUGUUUUAUAAGUGGACUAACAUUCACAAGUGCUUGGAUUAUGAAGAUCUCGAGUUACUAUAGUUGUUCCUUGCUGGCUAGGUCAUAUCACAUUUAGAACAAGAGAGAUGCUAUAACAUAUUUUCUAACUCUCCUUAUUCCUUACACUUGUUGGAAAUUAUAAAAUUAUGUAAAUUGUUAACUCAUUGGCAAGUGCACCAAUUUAUCACAAAUAGUAAAGUUAAAAUGGAAGUACGAGCAUCAAAUCCACAAGGACUUUAUUUGUAUUUAAAUUGAUGCAAACCUAAUUUACAAGUAAGAGAUAAGGAAUUUAAAAUAAAAGAUAAUUAAAGAGAGUUAAAAGAUAAGAUAAAUAUUUAAAUUAAAAGAUGAUAAAGAUAGAAGAUAAAAAUGAUGAUAAUAUGUUCAAAUUCUUAAAGAUAAAUUCAAAAUUUAAAAUAUGUUGGGGCCAAGCAUGCCUAAUCCUUGAUGGUGUUUCUCUAUUUAAUGUUAUUCGAUUUUCACCCAUAUCUAUUAAGAUACUGAACACUGUGAUCCCUCAUGAUGAAGAGCUUAAUUUAUCUAUUCUCUCUCAAAUCUCUUUGCAGAGAUAAAACAAUAAAUUGCAUGUAGUUAGGAUACUCUUUCCCUAGCAAUGAUUUGUUCAGAUGUUCUCUUCCAAUUCUUUAGAAAUUAUCAUUUCCCAAUGUCUAAUCCCUAAACAAAUGCAGGAUGAUCAGACCAUACAAUACAAUAAAACACAAGAAAGAAACAAUAAAAAUUGACAUUGCAUUCAAUAGAUAGUAAGAAAAGAUUAUAUUACAAGGACAUUGGUUUCUCGGCUCCUAACAAUGAAGGUUUAGUCUCUCAUUGCAUUCAAUAGAUAGUAAGGAAAUAGUGUUGCUUGCACUAGUCUUAAAUACAAUAACCACUUUUAACUAAAACUCUCUGUUAUAUACGUCUUAAAAUUUAAAAUUAUAAGAAUAUGAAAAUUAAUAAUUUUUUAAAAUUUAUUUCCUAUCCUUCUUAACUAAAUAAAGUAUCUAAUCAAAAUCUCUUUUCUCUCUUCCAUUGAAAUCACUCACGUUCCCUACUCUCUAUCCAAGCAGUCCCAGAAGCCACUAUUUCAGUUUUAUUUCUUAAUAUAGCAUUGUAAAAAUUAGUAACCAUCUGCCCAAAACCUCAUCAAUUAUAGCAUUCAACGAGAAACUCGUAAUAUAUUUUGGUUGGAUUUUCAAGAUAAAUUUCUCUUAUUCUUAUUUGAAACCGUGAAAAAGAAAGAAAACUCAACAAAAGUCCCACCUAGAAAUGUUUUCCAGCCCCUCACCAUGCCAAAAUAUCCUGGCAGGAAGCGGCAAUAGGGGAAUAUUUUGAGCAAAAAGUCUAUGAUCUUAGUUUCACCUUCUCUCAAAUCUUUUUAUCUCAUUUAUUUAAAACUUCAAAUUUAAGUCUAUUAAUAUUUUUCAUUUGUAUAAAUUUUGAAUGUUUCUAUGUUUAUCUUUAUAAAAAAAUUGAAAUAAUUUUUGUACAAAAGUUAGGAUUAUUGACACCAAGAGAAAAUUCCUUCGGUGCACCAAGUUGUUUAAAGUAAUAAAGUUUGAUGAAGCAUUCUUGGAGUCCAAGUGCGAGUAACAAGUCAAACAUUGGAUAAAAAUAGACAUAUUGUUGAACAACAUAUAAGUGAAAAUGAUUUGUAAAUCGCUUGUUUUAUGGCUUUAGAUUAGAUGUGGUGUCAAAUUGAUUUAUGUAGUUUUCUUGUGGCCCAUCUAUAGAUAUCUCAAUGUUAUUUUACUCAUUAUAUUUCCAAACAAAGGGUAUCGAGGCAAAUGGUGCCCUCAUGGAGGAGCUUCGUUUAUGAAGAAUUUCAGUGUUUUUCUUUUAUUAGCAUAUAUAAAUUCAUAAAUUUCGAUCGAGUUUGAAUUUGUGAGAUUCAGAGUGUUAGUUUUUCAAUGCGAUAGAGAUUAAAUAAUAAUAUGGUAAAACAUGUUUUUGUUCUAUAAAACGUCUGAAGUUUAGUUUUAGUCUAUUAAAAAAUUUGGUUUGUUUUUCGUCCUUCUAAUUUUAUAAUGUAUCAUUUUUAUUCCCUCAAGUAUUAUUUAAACCACUUUUCGUCUCUCUAUAAAGUACUAUCAAAGUCACAUUAAAGAUAAAAAGUGGCGCGCUUCAAUAUUAGAAAGACAAAAAAAUGGACAAAUUUUUAGACGGAAUAAAACCAAACAUUAAAAAUUUGAGAGAUCAAAGACAUAUUCUACAAAAAGAUAAACCACAAAGUGGCAAGGGUCAAAUAAAAAAUAUAAAAACCUUUAUUUCAGGUCAAUUUUACCCAUACCUUACUGGUUUAAAUUACCUUCGAUAUCAAAUCAAUUUUAAUGCUUUGUCAUACAUCACUCAUAAGGUGAUACACCUUACCCUGAACCAUAUAUCUAAUAGCAUUUAUUUUGAAAUAUGAAAAAAAAUAAUUAUAUCUAAUAUUCAUAUUGUUUAAAAUAUUAAAUAUUCGUGCCAGUACACCUAAAGUUUAAGAAGACACAUGUUAAAAAGACAUAUUAGUUUAAAAAGUAAAUUACACUAAUUUAAAGUUUUGUGAAAUUACACAAAUUGCAUUCCAUGUUAGUGUAUUUUACUCUAAUUUAAAAUUACAGUUAGAUGUUUAUGGAGCAUGUGCUAACUUGUCUUAAGGAAAUGUUUGUGUACAAACAAAAGUUGUUCCUUAAUUUUGAACUUUGGAGGUCAUUUUCUAAGUGUACGCAUAUGAAAAAAUAUUUUAAAAAAUUAUACAAAAAUAAUAAUUAUAUAUAAUAAAAUAGAUUAUAUUAAUUAUUUCAUAUUCAAAUAAAAAUUAUUUGUUUAAUCAUUUUCUUAUUGCAGACAUUUAAGAGUGAAUAAAAGUAAGAAAUUUUUUAAUUUGUAACCUGUCUCUAAGACGGGUGCAUAUUGUAGUACCAACUAUAGACCUUAACUCAUACCACAUUUACUAUUGGUAGAACGCAAAUCAAGGUUAUAAAUUGAUGGAUUAGCAUAAAUUUGUCAAAAAAAAGUCAUAAAGGCUAACCAUAUACACUAUGUGGCCUUUACAUUCCUUCUCUCCCUUUCUUAUUUUAGAAAAUAUGAUUUUUAGCAUUUUAACAAACCACAAAUAGCAUUUGAAUGAUUCAACUGUAUUAGGUGUUCAAUAUCAUUUUUUUAAUGUAUAAAUAACACUUUACAUUGCAUCCCCAAACUACAAAAACAUAUUCUUCAAUGGAAUUUGGCAAAAAGUAGCCAUCGCCCCAACGAUCCCAUUUCCCUUGACUUCUCUACGUGAAGAUCCUUGUGUCGCAUAGUACGUGCAUAAAUUACUAUACAAGUUAAUUUGAGGAAUGCAAUAUAUUUAUAUUUUAUGUAAAUGUGACUUUCUUAUUAUUAGAUUUCGAUCUUUUAAAAAAAUAUUGUCUAUAGUUUCUUGAUGACGAUGUUAUAUGCUUUUCGUUAUACCCUAUUACAUGUCACAUCAAAAUGGUUGGUGGUGCGACAUGAGUAGUUGCAUGACAUGUUAUAACCAAGCGACUAUAUAAAGUUUUUUUUUAAAAAAAACAAUUAUAGAGAUGAAAAAAGAAUCAAAAUCAAAUAAGUCAUGUUUAGAGUUUAAAAACAUGUCCAUUCUUAAUUAGUGCAGAGGAAUAUUAUGGUCAUAUUACUUGUCAUAUUAACUAAUUUUACAUAAAUAUUCAUUUAUGACAGGAGCUAGUUAAAAUGUCUGAGGGAAAUGCAGGGAAAGGAAAGAGAAUCGCCAUCAUUGGCGUCUCAGCCUUAUUGUUGGUGGCUAUGGUUGUGGCAAUCACAGUUGGGGUCAAUCUCAAUGAGAAUGGUUCCAACAAUGAUACAGAGGACAACAAGAAAAAUCAUGUUGUUUCUUCUAUAAAAGCCGUCCAAACCCUUUGUCAUCCCACAAAUUAUAAGAAAGAAUGCGAGGAAAGCCUUAUAGCUGGGGCUGGAAAUACCACAGAUCCAAAAGAACUUAUCAAAAUUUUCUUCAACAUCACCAUUACAAAAAUUGGUGAUAAACUCAAAGAAACUAAUAUUUUGCAUGAGGUUGAGGAGGAACCCAGAGCCAAGAUGGCACUUGAAACAUGCAAGCAACUCAUGGAUCUUUCUAUUGGGGAAUUAACAAGGUCACUUGAUGGAAUAGGUGAGUUUAACCUCAUAAAUGUUGACAAAAUCCUCAUGAAUUUAAAAGUUUGGCUUAGUGGCGCGGUUACAUACCAAGAUACUUGCUUGGAUGGGUUUGAGAAC